UGGGGAAUAUUGGACAAUGGGCGCAAGCCUGAUCCAGCCAUGCCGCGUGAGUGAUGAAGGCCCUAGGGUUGUAAAGCUCUUUUGUGCGGGAAGAUAAUGACGGUACCGCAAGAAUAAGCCCCGGCUAACUUCGUGCCAGCAGCCGCGGUAAUACGAAGGGGGCUAGCGUUGCUCGGAAUCACUGGGCGUAAAGGGUGCGUAGGCGGGUCUUUAAGUCAGGGGUGAAAUCCUGGAGCUCAACUCCAGAACUGCCUUUGAUACUGAAGAUCUUGAGUUCGGGAGAGGUGAGUGGAACUGCGAGUGUAGAGGUGAAAUUCGUAGAUAUUCGCAAGAACACCAGUGGCGAAGGCGGCUCACUGGCCCGAUACUGACGCUGAGGCACGAAAGCGUGGGGAGCAAACAGG
rnacentral:rRNA from 5 species